CAGCCGCCGCGGUAAUACGAACCGUGCGAACGUUGUUCGGAAUUACUGGGCGUAAAGCGCACGUAGGCGGCUGUGUAAGUCAGAGGUGAAAGCCCGGGGCUCAACCCCGGAAUAGCCUUUGAGACUGCAUAGCUUGAACACGGGAGAGGUGAGUGGAAUUCCGAGUGUAGAGGUGAAAUUCGCAGAUAUUCGGAAGAACACCAGUGGCGAAGGCGGCUCACUGGACCGUUGUUGACGCUGAGGUGCGAAAGCGUGGGGAGCAAACAGGAUUAGAUACCCCGGUAGUCCCUGUCUCUUAUAC
rnacentral:rRNA from 1 species